UACGGGGGAUGCAAGCGUUAUCCGGAAUGAUUGGGCGUAAAGCGUCCGCAGGUGGCAAUGUAAGUCUGCUGUUAAAGAGUCUAGCUCAACUAGAUAAAAGCAGUGGAAACUACAUAGCUAGAGUACGUUCGGGGCAGAGGGAAUUCCUGGUGUAGCGGUGAAAUGCGUAGAGAUCAGGAAGAACACCGGUGGCGAAGGCGCUCUGCUAGGCCGUAACUGACACUGAGGGACGAAAGCUAGGGGAGCGAAUGGG
rnacentral:rRNA from 1 species